CCAUCCUCCAAGGCUAAAUACUCCUGACUGACCGAUAGUGAACCAGUACCGUGAGGGAAAGGCGAAAAGAACCCCGUUGAGGGGAGUGAAAUAGAACCUGAAUCCGUGUACGUACAAGCAGUGGGAGUCGGUGGGCAGUUGACAGUGGACAGUAGACAGUUGAUGUGCAGAAGCACGGUUGACUGAAACGCUGUUGCUGGAUGAUAAAGCGUCGGAAUGGAACAGGGAGCCAGAAACAGGCACUUCCUGAACCGUUCACCGUCUACUGUCAACUGUCCACCGAUGACUGCGUACCUUUUGUAUAAUGGGUCAGCGACUUACUUUCAGUGGCAAGGUUAACCGACUAGGGGAGCCGUAGAGAAAUCGAGUCUUAACAGGGCGUCGAGUCGCUGGGAGUAGACCCGAAACCGGGCGAUCUAUCCAUGGGCAGGUUGAAGGUUGAGUAACAUCAACUGGAGGACCGAACCGACUAUCGUUGAAAAGCUAGCGGAUGACCUGUGGAUAGGAGUGAAAGGCUAAUCAAGCCCGGAGAUAGCUGGUUCUCCUCGAAAGCUAUUUAGGUAGCGCCUCGUGUCUCACCAUCGGGGGUAGAGCACUGUUUGGGCUAGGGGGUCAUCCCGACUUACCAACCCCAUGCAAACUCCGAAUACCGAUGAGUGCAAUCACGGGAGACACACGGCGGGUGCUAACGUCCGUCGUGGAAAGGGAAACAACCCAGACCGUCAGCUAAGGUCCCAAAGUUCUGGUUAAGUGGGAAACGAUGUGAGAAGGCCCAGACAGCCAGGAGGUUGGCUUAGAAGCAGCCAUCCUUUAAAGAAAGCGUAAUAGCUCACUGGUCGAGUCGGCUCGCGCGGAAGAUUUAACGGGGCUCAAACUAGACACCGAAGCUACGGGGUUCAGUGGUCAGUUUUUAGUGGUCAGUCGGCAGUUAGAGAGGCAGGUUGUGCAGGGUUUUGAGCAAUUAGAGGUAUUUCAAAGGGCUUAUAAACUUUCAUUGAAAGUUCACAGGAUAACCCUUGAGUUUCCGAAGAUUGAGCAAACGAAUGGGCUUGCUGAUCAAAUGCGCAGAGCCAGCAAAGGCAUUUGCGCAAAUAUUGCUGAAGGACACGGAAAACUGGUCAUCUCAAAAGCAGAGUUUCGAAGGUUCCUGUUAAUGGCCGUCGGAUCCUCUGAUGAAAUGAGAGUUUGGUUAAGAUACUGCCUUGAUCUGAAAUACAUAGAUGAUCAGCAAUGGCAAUAUCUAAAAACCGAAUACAAUCAGGUCAGUAAAAUGUUGGUGGGUUUGCACAAGAGUUAGAGAUAGCUCGGAGCAAAACUGACCACCGACCACUAAAAACUGACCACUGCAACCGGUAGAGGAGCGUUCUGUAAGCCGUUGAAGGUGUAUCGGGAGGUAUGCUGGAGGUAUCAGAAGUGCGAAUGCUGACAUGAGUAACGACAAGGGGAGUGAGAAGCUCCCCCGCCGGAAGACCAAGGGUUCCUGCGCAACGCUAAUCGGCGCAGGGUGAGUCGGCCCCUAAGGUGAGGUCGA
rnacentral:rRNA from 1 species